GUGAGAUAUCACCUCUCUCAAUAAAAUGGAUCCCAUUCCAGACAGUUUUGAAAAAUAUUCUAUCUACCUAAAGGUAGAUGUAGAAGUUCCAAGACAUCACUUUGAAGAUGAGCAGCAAAGGACAUCAUCCCUCAUCAACUGGCGGAUCAUCUGGCUGAAGAUGGUCACAAAUGCUUCUUAAAGAGAUAGGUCUGUCUAACUACACCACGCGGAUUGCAGCAGCUCAAGAAGGCAGCUCAUUACCAUCUUCUCAAGGGAUCGGAAAUAAAUCAUAGGAAAAAAAAUUCUA